CAGUGAGGAAUAUUGGUCAAUGGACGCAAGUCUGAACCAGCCAUGUCGCGUGCAGGAUGACGGCCCUAUGGGUUGUAAACUGCUUUUUUACAGGAAUAAACUUAGCUACGUGUAGUGAACUGAAGGUACUGUAGGAAUAAGGAUCGGCUAACUCCGUGCCAGCAGCCGCGGUAAUACGGAGGAUUCGAGCGUUAUCCGGAUUUAUUGGGUUUAAAGGGUCCGUAGGCGGGCCAAUAAGUCAGUGGUGAAAUCCCAGAGCUCAACUCUGGAACUGCCAUUGAUACUGUUGGUCUUGAAUUUAGUUGAGGUGGGCGGAAUACGUUAUGUAGCGGUGAAAUGCAUAGAUAUAACGUAGAACACCGAUUGCGAAGGCAGCUCACUAAACUAACAUUGACGCUGAUGGACGAAAGCGUGGGGAGCGAACAGGAUUAGAUACCCUGGUAGUCCACGCCGUAAACGAUGAUUACUCGUUGUGCACAAUACAUCGUGCGUGACUGAGCGAAAGCAUUAAGUAAUCCACCUGGGGAGUACGUUCGCAAGAAUGAAACUCAAA
rnacentral:rRNA from 1 species